UCUGCAAGCUUCCCCCUAAUCACUACAACCUGCAGAUAGCCAGCAAGGUAAAUACACCAUUUUAAAAUAACAGGACGCAUGUUUUUCUUCUUCAAUUUGUUCAUUUAUUACGAAUAAUUUGUUCCAGGAGAUCCAUUUGGCAAACACAAGUUAAGCAUGAUGUGGCAGAGAACAUCAACUACACAUAAAAUCAAGUGUACCUGAUUAGCCAGGCUGUGCGGUGGCCCAGACAAACCGUUCAGUGUCCUUAGCAACACAAUAAAGAGCAGAUGUGAAAUGUCCAGAUCCACAAGUCUGUACCUUAAAUACUUAGAAAAGCAUUAGAAUAUGAUAUUCACAUAACAGACAUAUCACAAAAAGUUCAGAAAAAAGAAUAGUCAGUUGUCUGCACUAAACAAGUACUGGUCUGUUACCUAUGUGAAGUAUUGGUCUAUAACCUAUGAUCAAGUACUGGUCUGUUACCUAUGAUCAAGUACUGGUCUGUUAGCAUAAAUGAUUAUUCGUCAAGACAAUCACUCCUGCCAUAUAAACAUGUAUCUCAAGGAAAAUUUGUAAGAGAUGUGGUUAAUUACUUGAAUAAAACACACCAUAUCAAGUAUACUAACACAGAAGUGAUAUCAAUAUUUCCACCUUCAACAUCAGAUAGUAUAAAACACACCAUAACUAGUAAAAACACACCAUGGCCUACACGGUUUGCACCCUAACGCAUCCCCAUCUAUGGAAAGACAGACAUUGGGAACAUAAGCAAAGCAUGGCAAGAAGAACCCAAUUGGAAAGAACACUAAAUAAACAACCAUCAGAACAACCAUAAUGUAUCACCCCAUCUCUGCUUAUAAGAUGG
rnacentral:lncRNA from 1 species